GAGGAUGUGGCUUAAUGGUAGAGUGCAUACUUAGCAUGCAUGAGGCCCUGGGCUCUUUCCCCCAGCAUCACCA
rnacentral:tRNA from 1 species